rnacentral:rRNA from 1 species
GAUGAACGCUGGCGGCGUGCCUAAUACAUGCAAGUCGAGCGAACAGACGAGAAGCUUGCUUCUCUGAUGUUAGCGGCGGACGGGUGAGUAACACGUGGAUAACCUACCUAUAAGACUGGGAUAACUUCGGGAAACCGGAGCUAAUACCGGAUGAUAUUUUGAACCGCAUGGUUCAAAAGUGAAAGACGGUUUUGCUGUCACUUAUAGAUGGAUCCGCGCCGCAUUAGCUAGUUGGUAAGGUAACGGCUUACCAAGGCAACGAUGCAUAGCCGACCUGAGAGGGUGAUCGGCCACACUGGAACUGAGACACGGUCCAGACUCCUACGGGAGGCAGCAGUAGGGAAUCUUCCGCAAAGGGCGAAAGCCUGACGGAGCAACGCCGCGUGAGUGAUGAAGGUCUUCGGAUCGUAAAACUCUGUUAUUAGGGAAGAACAUACGUGUAAGUAACUGUGCACAUCUUGACGGUACCUAAUCAGAAAGCCACGGCUAACUACGUG